UACGGCGGGUGCCAGCGUUGUUCGGAAUCAUUGGGCGUAAAGCGCGUGUAGGCGGCCGGGUAAGUCUGAUGUGAAAGCCCGGGGCUCAACCCCGGAAGUGCAUUGGAUACUGCCUGGCUAGAGGGCGAGAGAGGAAAGUGGAAUUCCUGGUGUAGGGGUGAAAUCCGUAGAUAUCAGGAGGAACAUCAGUGGCGAAGGCGACUUUCGGGCUCGUUACUGACUUUGAGACGCGAAAGCGUGGGGAGCAAACAGG
rnacentral:rRNA from 1 species